GAUGAACGCUGGCGGCGUGCCUAAUACAUGCAAGUCGAGCGAACGGACGAGAAGCUUGCUUCUCUGAUGUUAGCGGCGGACGGGUGAGUAACACGUGGAUAACCUACCUAUAAGACUGGGAUAACUUCGGGAAACCGGAGCUAAUACCGGAUAAUAUUUUGAACCGCAUGGUUCAAAAGUGAAAGACGGUCUUGCUGUCACUUAUAGAUGGAUCCGCGCUGCAUUAGCUAGUUGGUAAGGUAACGGCUUACCAAGGCAACGAUGCAUAGCCGACCUGAGAGGGGGAUCGGCAACACUGGAACUGAGACACGGUCCAGACUCCUACGGGAGGAAGCAGUAGGGAAUCUUCCGCAAUGGGCGAAAGCCUGACGGAGCAACGCCGCGUGAGUGAUGAAGGUCUUCGGAUCGUAAAACUCUGUUAUUAGGGAAGAACAUAUGUGUAAGUAACUGUGCACAUCUUGACGGUACCUAAUCAGAAAGCCACGGCUAACUACGUG
rnacentral:rRNA from 1 species